GAAGAGAUAGCUCACUCGGUAGAGCAUGAGACUCUUAAUCUCAGCGUCUUGACUUCAAGCCACUUGUUGGGUCUUCGAUUUCUGC